GACGGAGGAUGCAAGCGUUAUCCGGAAUGAUUGGGCGUAAAGCGUCCGCAGGUGGCAGUUCAAGUCUGCUGUCAAAGACCGGGGCUUAACUUCGGAAAGGCAGUGGAAACUGAACAGCUAGAGUAUGGUAGGGGCAGAGGGAAUUCCUGGUGUAGCGGUGAAAUGCGUAGAGAUCAGGAAGAACACCAAUGGCGAAGGCAGCUCGCUGGAACGGUACUGACGCUGAGGCGCGAAAGCGUGGGGAGCAAACAGG
rnacentral:rRNA from 1 species